UACAGAGGUCCCGAGCGUUGUUCGGAUUCACUGGGCGUAAAGGGUGCGUAGGUGGUGGAGUAAGUUUGAUGUGAAAUCUCCGGGCUUAACCCGGAAACUGCAUUGAAUACUAUUCCGCUGGAGGUUUGGAGGGGGGACUGGAAUUCUCGGUGUAGCAGUGAAAUGCGUAGAUAUCGAGAGGAACACCAGUGGCGAAGGCGAGUCCCUGGACAACACCUGACACUGAGGCGCGAAGGCUAGGGGAGCGAACAGG
rnacentral:rRNA from 1 species